GACGAACGCUGGCGGCGUGCUUAACACAUGCAAGUCGAACGGAAAGGCCCUGCUUGCAGGGUACUCGAGUGGCGAACGGGUGAGUAACACGUGGGUGAUCUGCCCUGCACUUCGGGAUAAGCUUGGGAAACUGGGUCUAAUACCGGAUAGGAGCCAUCUUUAGUGUUGUGGUUGGAAAGUUUUUUCGGUGUAGGAUGAGCUCGCGGCCUAUCAGCUUGUUGGUGGGGUAAUGGCCUACCAAGGCGGCGACGGGUAGCCGGCCUGAGAGGGUGUACGGCCACAUUGGGACUGAGAUACGGCCCAGACUCCUACGGGAGGCAGCAGUGGGGAAUAUUGCACAAUGGGCGCAAGCCUGAUGCAGCGACGCCGCGUGGGGGAUGAAGGCCUUCGGGUUGUAAACUCCUGUCGCUAGGGACGAAGCUUUGUUGUGACGGUACCUAGAUAAGAAGCACCGGCUAACUACGUG
rnacentral:rRNA from 1 species